rnacentral:rRNA from 1 species
AGCAGCCGCGGUAAUUCCAGCUCCAAUAGCGUAUAUUAAAGUUGUUGCAGUUAAAAAGCUCGUAGUUGAACUUCGGGGUUUACCCAUUGGUCAGGCUUAAUUGUCUGUACUGGUGAGAUAAAUCUCUACCUUCUGAGGAACUUUCAUGUCAUUAAUUUGGUGUGAUUGGAAAUCAGGACUGUUACUUUGAAAAAAUUAGAGUGUUUAAAGCAGGCUAACGUCUGAAUACAUUAGCAUGGAAUAAUGAAAUAGGACGGACUGAUUCUAUUUCGUUGGUUUCUAGGAUCACCGUAAUGAUUAAUAGGGAUAGUUGGGGGCAUUAGUAUUCAAUUGUCAGAGGUGAAAUUCUUGGAUUUAUUGAAGACUAACUACUGCGAAAGCAUUUGCCAAGGAUGUUUUCAUUAAUCAAGAACGAAAGUUAGGGGAUCGAAGACGAUCAGAUACCGUCGUAGUCUUAACCAUAAACUAUGCCGACUAGGGAUCGGAUGAUGUUAAUUUUUAAUG